rnacentral:piRNA from 1 species
CCGGCUGGCUAGGUUGCUCUGUA